CUUAAUAAAAGCGAGAGGGAGGGGCCAUGUUUGAGCAAGCUUUCCCACUCAGGAACUUCUAUUCCUAUCAUGUAAUUUCACAAUACACAACGGUCCUCUUUGUGACCGUAGGAGGACUUAUUAAACUCAACAAAUUAACAUGAGCGCUUAGACAGAGCCACAAUGUUGGCGGUGGGCAAUCAACCAGCCACACUGAAGACAGAGAAAACAAGAGAGGUGUGGAUGUGUGGAGAGAAUGAGCAGUGAAGAGGAGAAACAGCAGGAGAGGUGGGAAUGUGGAACAGGAAAAGAGAGAGGUGGGAAUGUGGAACAGGAAAAGAGAGAGGUGGGAAUGUGGAACAGGAAAAGAGAGAGGUGGGAAUGUGGAACAGGAAAAGAGAGAGGUGGGAAUGUGGAACAGGAAAAGAGAGAGGUGGGAAUGUGGAACAGGAAAAGAGAGAGGUGGGAAUGUGGAACAGGAAAAGAGAGAGGUGGGAAUGUGGAACAGGAAAAGAGAGAGGUGGGAAUGUGGAACAGGAAAAGAGAGAGGUGGGGAGAACGAGAAAGGGAUAAAAUAGCAGUGGUCUUUUGGUUGGACUAAGUGGUUUCACCAUAGAGCAGCUCAGAUAGUCUGAGAGGAUUUGUGGGACUCAUCUACCGUUUAAUUGACAAAGAAGAUUGGUCAGAUCCUCUGCCAAAUAGAGAGAGCACCAGAAAUUGUUCAGUUUGGAUGACAAAUAACUCAUUAAUAUGGAUAUUAAGCGUAUGUGACCCAUGGCAGAAAGCUGGGAGUAUGUCACACGUAACUACUUCACAGAAGAGGCAU